UACAGAGACCUCAAGCGUUAUCCGGAAUCAUUGGGCGUAAAGCCGUACCGGAUCGGUGGUUAAGAAAGUCAGAAGUGGAAAAUCUCGUCAGCUUAACUGGGAGACUGUCUUUUGAAACUUCUUAACUCGAGGGGCAAAGAGGAAGCUGGAACGAACGGUGUAGUAGUGAAAUGCGUUGAUAUCGUUCGGAACACCAAUAGCGAAGGCAGGCUUCUGGGUGCCACCUGACACUGCUAGGACGAAAGCGUGGGGAGCGAAGUGGG
rnacentral:rRNA from 1 species